rnacentral:ncRNA from 1 species
AUCGAACAAAGGCAAACCCGUCGAAAGGCGGGGACGCAAAGCCACGGGUCUAAGACGUAAGCAUUCGCUUAUGGGAUGAUCGCCGGGUUGCUCUA